rnacentral:rRNA from 1 species
GAUGAACGCUGGCGGCGUGCCUAACACAUGCAAGUCGAGCGAUCUUCUUCGGAAGAGAGCGGCGGACGGGUGAGUAACGCGUGGGUAACCUGCCCUAUACACACGGAUAACAUACCGAAAGGUAUGCUAAUACGAGAUAAUAUGCUUUUGUCGCAUGGCAGAAGUAUCAAAGCUCCGGCGGUAUAGGAUGGACCCGCGUCUGAUUAGCUAGUUGGUAAGGUAACGGCUUACCAAGGCGACGAUCAGUAGCCGACCUGAGAGGGUGAUCGGCCACAUUGGAACUGAGACACGGUCCAAACUCCUACGGGAGGCAGCAGUGGGGAAUAUUGCACAAUGGGCGAAAGCCUGAUGCAGCAACGCCGCGUGAGCGAUGAAGGCCUUCGGGUCGUAAAGCUCUGUCCUCAAGGAAGAUAAUGACGGUACUUGAGGAGGAAGCCCCGGCUAACUACGUGCCAGCCGCCGCCGUAA